UACCAGCAGCUCGAGUGGUGAUCGCUAUUAUUGGGCCUAAAGCGUCCGUAGCCGGUUUGGUAAACCCUUGGGUAAAUCGGGCAGCUUAACUGUCCGAAUUCUGAGGAGACUGCCAGACUUGGGACCGGGAGAGGUCAGAGGUACUUCUAGGGUAGAGGUGAAAUUCUGUAAUCCUAGGAGGACCACCAGUGGCGAAGGCGUCUGACUAGAACGGGUCCGACGGUAAGGGACGAAACCCUGGGGCGCGAACCGGAUUAGAUACCCCCGUA
rnacentral:rRNA from 1 species